GCUAUUCAUUAGAAUUUCUUUAAGUCGGAAAUUAUUGAAUAAUUCUGAUGAAACAAGUAAUUUAAUCAAGACAAAAUAAAAAAAGUUAUUAAAAUUUGAGUAAAGAAUAUAUUUCUACAAUAUGAAGAUUUUUUAUUACUUCGUAAUACUUUUUUGUAUUCUAACCAACAUCAUCCAAGAAAUAAAUGCAUGUGGUCUGCGUUUUGGAACUAAAGAUAAAAGUCUAAAUAAAAAAAAUUGUCUAUAAUAUAACUUUCAACAAGUAUUAGUAUAUUUCAUCAAUGAAAAUUAUGGACAAUGGAUGAUUUAUUGAAAAAUGCUUUAAUAUUCAGCAUUUGUUAUUGAUUAUUUAAAUAGUGAAAUAAAUUAUAUUAAAAAUAUAA